rnacentral:rRNA from 1 species
GGCGAACGCUGGCGGCGUGCUUAACACAUGCAAGUCGAACGGAAAGGCCCUGCUUUUGUGGGGUGCUCGAGUGGAGAACGGGUGAGUAACACGUGAGUAACCUGCCCUUGACUUUGGGAUAACUUCAGGAAACUGGGGCUAAUACCGGAUAGGAGCUCCUGCUGCAUGGUGGGGGUUGGAAAGUUUCGGCGGUUGGGGAUGGACUCGCGGCUUAUCAGCUUGUUGGUGGGGUAGUGGCUUACCAAGGCUUUGACGGGUAGCCGGCCUGAGAGGGUGACCGGCCACAUUGGGACUGAGAUACGGCCCAGACUCCUACGGGAGGCAGCAGUGGGGAAUAUUGCACAAUGGGCGGAAGCCUGAUGCAGCAACGCCGCGUGCGGGAUGACGGCCUUCGGGUUGUAAACCGCUUUCGCCUGUGACGAAGCGUGAGUGACGGUAAUGGGUAAAGAAGCACCGGCUAACUACGUG